CGGCGAGUAGCGCAGCUUGGUAGCGCAAACUGGUUUGGGACCAGUGGGUCGGAGGUUCGAAUCCUCUCUCGCCGACCA
rnacentral:tRNA from 2 species